rnacentral:rRNA from 1 species
UCGAGCGGACAGAUGGGAGCUUGCUCCCUGAUGUUAGCGGCGGACGGGUGAGUAACACGUGGGUAACCUGCCUGUAAGACUGGGAUAACUCCGGGAAACCGGGGCUAAUACCGGAUGGUUGUUUGAACCGCAUGGUUCAAACAUAAAAGGUGGCUUCGGCUACCACUUACAGAUGGACCCGCGGCGCAUUAGCUAGUUGGUGAGGUAACGGCUCACCAAGGCAACGAUGCGUAGCCGACCUGAGAGGGUGAUCGGCCACACUGGGACUGAGACACGGCCCAGACUCCUACGGGAGGCAGCAGUAGGGAAUCUUCCGCAAUGGACGAAAGUCUGACGGAGCAACGCCGCGUGAGUGAUGAAGGUUUUCGGAUCGUAAAGCUCUGUUGUUAGGGAAGAACAAGUACCGUUCGAAUAGGGCGGUACCUUGACGGUACCUAACCAGAAAGCCACGGCUAACUACGUGCCAGCAGCCGCGGUAAUACGUAGGUGGCAAGCGUUGUCCGGAAUUAUUGGGCGUAAAGGGCUCGCAGGCGGUUUCUUAAGUCUGAUGUGAAAGCCCCCGGCUCAACCGGGGAGGGUCAUUGGAAACUGGGGAACUUGAGUGCAGAAGAGGAGAGUGGAAUUCCACGUGUAGCGGUGAAAUGCGUAGAGAUGUGGAGGAACACCAGUGGCGAAGGCGACUCUCUGGUCUGUAACUGACGCUGAGGAGCGAAAGCGUGGGGAGCGAACAGGAUUAGAUACCCUGGUAGUCCACGCCGUAAACGAUGAGUGCUAAGUGUUAUGGGGUUUCCGCCCCUUAGUGCUGCAGCUAACGCAUUAAGCACUCCGCCUGGGGGAGUACGGUCGCAAGACUGAACUCAAAGGAAUUGACGGGGGCCCGCACAAGCGGUGGAGCAUGUGGUUU